UUGCGGCCAACUUUUCAAAAAUUCCUUCCUGCCAAAGUGAGUGAGACGAACCGAUGGUGGCUCACGAGUUAGAAAGAGCGCACUUGCUUCCACAGCUGAGAAAAGUUCCGUUUUUUGGGCAUCAUYAGUGAGGCAGCUACGGGUCAUCAAAGUUAAGUGCCAAGUCCAAAAACAAUUAAGUCAAAGUUGCGACCAACUUUUGAAAAAUUCCUUCCUGCCAAGAUGAGAAAAGUUUCGUUUUUGGGACGUCAUCAAUGAGGCAGCUACGAGUCAUCAAAGUUAAGUGCCAAGUCCAAAAACAAUUAAGUCCAAGUUGCGGCCAACUUUUGAAAAUUCCUUCCUGCCAAGAUGAGAAAAGUUUCGUUUUGGGGUCAUCAUCAGUGAGGCAGCUACGAGUCAUUAAAGUUAAGUGCCAAGUUCAAAAGAAAUUGAGUCCAAGUUGCGACCAACUUUUGAAAAAUUCCUUCCUGCCAAAGUGAGUGAAACGAACCGAUGGUGGCUCACGAAUUAGGAAGAGCGCACUUGCUUCCAUAGAUCAGAAAAGUUUCGUUUUGGGGUCAUCAUCAGUGAGGCAGCUACGAGUCAUUAAAGUUAAGUGCCAAGUUCAAAAGAAAUUGAGUCCAAGUUGCGACCAACUUUUGAAAAAUUCCUUCCUGCCAAAGUGAGUGAAACGAAUCGAUGGUGGCUCACGAAUUAGGAAGAGCGCACUUGCUUCCAUAGAUCAGAAAAGUUUCGGUUUUAUGCCAUCAUCAGUGUGACAGCUACAGGGCCUCAAAGUUAAGUGUCAAGUUCAAAAGAAAUGGAGUUUAAGUUGAAAAA